UAAGAGCAAGUAUAUAAGGAGUCCUAGGCGAGAGGCAAAAGGGGAUCAGAGACACAGCAAAAGUUAGCACUUAGAGCAAUUUAGGCAAUUUUCUGUUUUUCUUAUUCGAGCUGUGACUCAAUUAGGUUUAGCAGCUUUAGGGUUUUAGAACUAGGAAUCUCGCUGACAGCUAUCGUAGCCCAGGCUCUUACUUAGUUGUAACGCUCAAACACGAAUUCGGAAUAAGAUCUACUUUGCUCUCUUUUCGAUUUCUUAUCUUAUAUCGUCUUUAUUUCAUGUUAUGAUUGCUUGGCGUGUGGUAUUAGCAGAUAUCCGGGAC
rnacentral:lncRNA from 1 species